GGGCAUCUUUAGGCUCUCCUCACGCCAC
rnacentral:sRNA from 1 species